rnacentral:lncRNA from 10 species
UUUGGGGAACAGGUGGUAUUUGGUUACAUGAGUAAUUUCUUUAGUGGUGAUCUGUGAGAUUUUCGUGCAUCCAUCACCUGUGCAGUAUACACUGAACCCAAUUUGUAGUCUUUAUUCUUUACCUUCUUCCCACCCUUUCCCUGUGAGUCCCCAAAGUUCACUGUGUCAUACCUUUGCAUCCUCAUAGUUUAGCUCCCUCUUCUUAGUGAGAACAUAUGAUGUUUGGUUUUCCAUUAAUGGCAGUUGUUUCGUCUCUUCCAAUUUGUACCUUGCAAGUGGGUCCCUGGGUUGGGGGUGGUUUCUGGUGUGUGUGUGUGUGUGUGUGUGUGUGUGUGUGUGUGUGUAGUAUGUGUUGCAAAGGUGUGUCCAUCCAUCCUAUAGAUAACAAUAUAGUUCUAUUCCAAUAAUCAUUUAUAGUAAGAAUAAUUGCAAAGUUGUAACUCAGGAAUGGAGAAAUUGCAGUCAAAGCACUGAUGAUGAGUAUGGAAAUCAGCUUAAAAGUAGAGCAAAUCUGAAAAACUAUUGAAUUUAUGUUCACAUCUUCAAAUGCAAAUGGCAUAAGCUUUCACAAUGUCAUGGUAAUAAUUUAACAAAUUCAGGAUGGGGUAGAGAGAAGAUGUGUCUGUUGGGAAGUAUAAGUAUUCUAAUAUUCUCAUGUCAAAUAAUCCAUGAAUGGUAUAUAAAUUUGAAGCAUAGUUUAAAAACAUAAUGACCCCAGCCUCUUAGUAAAUUCACAACCAUAUUCAUGUCUUUAAAUUUAGCAACCUAGAGGGGUCAUUUAAGAAUUGAUAUUUCUUGUUGGGAAGAAAAUUGAAUGGUUUUUAGCAAUUUAAUUCUACAUGAUUUAUACUUUACUGUAAAUUCAAAUAAAUGCCAUUUAAUACUUUUAUUAAUGGUAGCAUUUAUAGUACAAUCCAUUAAAAUUUAUAUUUCUAAGUUUUCUAAAGUACAGUAGAUUCAAGAAUUUAUGGUUGGUGUGUUCUAUAAAGUCGCUAGGAAAACUGAAUUAGAGAAUACUCAACCAUUGUUCCUGGGGGAAAUUAUGUUUCAGGUUAGGUUCCUUUGAGCCUCUGAUCACAGCAUCUUCAUUAACUGAUCAUUACAAAAUUGUGUGUUUUAUGUGUGUUUCUGUUUAAAGGCACCUUAUUUAAUAUAUAUUGUUGAUUCAUUUAAAUUGAACCCGUGACUGACGGCAUUAUAAUUCAUGACUGAAUUGAGCUUAUCUAACACUUGUAUUUUCUCACAUCAUAGCUUCUUGCACUUUGGAAAACUAGGUGGAACUUCAGCAUUAUGCUUCGAAGCCACCGUAACCAGUAAAAUCACCAACACGAAGCACAAUAAUGGGAAUUACAUGGCACAAAAUAGACUGUGCAAAGGACACUUAUUUACAGUAUGAGUGCUGAAACCAAAUGGCAGAAUAUCACCUGGUUUGACUUAGCUGGGAAUGUGUUUGUCAGGUGACUCAAAUUUCUGCUACUGUGUGCAUAUCUGUGAAUGGCCACAAAAGCUCCAGUAGUAUUGAUUUUGGGAUUACAAACAAAUUUUAGCAUGUAGGCAAAUUCACAAAUAUGGAAUCCACAAACAAGGAGGAUACACUGUAUCUCUAAUAAGGUCUUCUUUCACCCUUCUUCCCCCUUUUCCUCCCUAACUUCAUACCUGUUCUGACAUCUUCUUAUCCAUAGAGAGAUGUCUGAAAUUGUAUGAAGAAAGAGUUGACGAACACUAUGACUGGGUGGUGGAAUUUUUAAUCUGUAUUUGAAAAAAUAUAUAACAGUAUACAUUUUAACACAUAUAAUGAAGUCAUUAUUGUUAAAACAUUGAUAUUAAACUUUAUUAUUACAUAUUACAAAAAAUAAAAUAUAGUAAGACUUUUUGUUUGUUUACCACAAUGGUAUUUGUGCUGUUUUUUUCUGCACUAUAAUUCAAUCUUUCAUUAGGAGUUAAGGAAAUAGGCAGUCAUACACUGCUGAUUUUAGUGUAAAUUAGCAAAUUUUGGGGGGAAGAAAAUUUGGCAAAAUGUAUCAAAAAUGUCAAUGAUUUUCAUUUCACUCAUUAAUUCCAUUUAGGAAUUUUACCCAUGGAAAUAAUCCCCCCAAAUUUAUUAAUAAUAUUAUGAUUGUUAAUAGUUGUAAAUAUGUGAAUCAAUUCAACAGAACAUCAAUAAGAGCUCAGAAAAAGGAAAUACAGCUUUUAGAAAUCAUGUUCUUUAAGAAUUUGGAUGACAUUGUUAAUGUAAUGACAGAUAAAACACCAUACAUGCAGAUACAUAUGUUAAAAAGACUUGAAGGGCUGGAAGAAGUAGGUCAUGCCUGUAGUCCUGGCACUUUGGCAGGCUGAGGCAGGUGGAUCAUCUGAGCCCAGGAGUUCGAGACCAGUCUGGGAAACAUGGCGAAACCCUGUCUCUACAGAAAAUACAGAAAUUAGCAGAGCACUGUGGUGCACGCCUGUGAUCCUGAGGUGGGAGAAUCGCUUGAGCCCAAGGGAUGGAGGUUGCAUGCAGUGAGCUAUGAUCUCACCACUGCACUCCAGCGAGAGAGAGACAGAGAGAGGGAGACAGAGAGAGAGAGAGAGAGAGAGAGAGAGAGAGAGAGAGAGAGAGAGAGAGAAGGGAGGGGGGAGGGAGGGAAAGAAGGGAGGAAGUAAAGAAAGAUUUGAAGAAUAUAUAGCUAAAAUGUCAGCAGUGAUUGUCUGGGAGACAGGAUUCUAGGUCUGGAGGCUAGAAGGUUGAAAUCAAGGUAUUAGCAGAGCCAUGUUUCCUCUGAAGGCUGUAGGUAAGGAAUUUCCUUGACCCUUCCAGCUUCUAGUGGGUGCUGGGGUUAUUUCGCUUGUGGCAACAUAACUCCAAUCUCUGUCUCUGUAUUUUCACAUGGUCUUUUCCCUGAGUGUUUCUCUGUGUCCUCUC